CACGUAGGGUGCGAGCGUUGUCCGGAAUUAUUGGGCGUAAAGAGCUCGUAGGCGGUGUGUCGCGUCGGCCGUGAAAACCUGCAGCUUAACUGUGGGCUUGCGGUCGAUACGGGCAUCACUGGAGUUCGGCAGGGGAGACUGGAAUUCCUGGUGUAGCGGUGAAAUGCGCAGAUAUCAGGAGGAAUCACCGGUGGGCGAAGGCGGGGUCUCUGGGCCGAUACUGACGCUGGAGGAGC
rnacentral:rRNA from 1 species